rnacentral:rRNA from 1 species
GAUGAACGCUGGCGGCGUGCCUAAUACAUGCAAGUCGAGCGAACAGACGAGGAGCUUGCUCCUCUGACGUUAGCGGCGGACGGGAGAGUAACACGUGGAUAACCUACCUAUAAGACUGGGAUAACUUCGGGAAACCGGAGCUAAUACCGGAUAAUAUAUUGAACCGCAUGGUUCAAUAGUGAAAUACGGUUUUGCUGUCACUUAUAGAUGGAUCCGCGCCGCAUUAGCUAGUUGGUAAGGUAACGGCUUACCAAGGCAACGAUGCGUAGCCGACCUGAGAGGGUGAUCGGCCACACUGGAACUGAGACACGGCCCAGACUCCUACGGGAGGCAGCAGUAGGGAAUCUUCCGCAAUGGGCGAAAGCCUGACGGAGCAACGCCGCGUGAGUGAUGAAGGUCUUCGGAUCGUAAAGCUCUGUUAUUAGGGAAGAACAAAUGUGUAAGUAACUAUGCACGUCUUGACGGUACCUAAUGAGAAAGCCACGGCUAACUACGUG